GGGCAACUAGCUGAAGAUUGUAAUUUACCGGGACAGAGCAAGUAUAGACCACUAGUGACAUGGACUAUACAAAAAAUUAGCACAGGAAAUGUGGAGCAAUGCGUGGAUCCAUCGCUUGGAGGGCUAUACUCUCUUGAGGCUGUUGACGAGAUGGCUUCACUUGCAGCAGACUGUGUGCAGGGCAAUGCGAAUUCCCGGCCCAGCAUGAGCAAGGUUGUCGAGACUUUGAGCUCCUUAUCGACCAUCACGUCAGGCAGUCUACCCAGAGAAAUCCCCC